rnacentral:rRNA from 1 species
GCCUGAAUCAGUGUGUGUGUUAGUGGAAGCGUCUGGAAAGGCGCGCGAUACAGGGUGACAGCCCCGUACACAAAAAUGCACAUGCUGUGAGCUCGAUGAGUAGGGCGGGACACGUGGUAUCCUGUCUGAAUAUGGGGGGACCAUCCUCCAAGGCUAAAUACUCCUGACUGACCGAUAGUGAACCAGUACCGUGAGGGAAAGGCGAAAAGAACCCCGGCGAGGGGAGUGAAAAAGAACCUGAAACCGUGUACGUACAAGCAGUGGGAGCACAGAGCAAUCUGUGUGACUGCGUACCUUUUGUAUAAUGGGUCAGCGACUUAUAUUCUGUAGCAAGGUUAACCGAAUAGGGGAGCCGAAGGGAAACCGAGUCUUAACUGGGCGUUAAGUUGCAGGGUAUAGACCCGAAACCCGGUGAUCUAGCCAUGGGCAGGUUGAAGGUUGGGUAACACUAACUGGAGGACCGAACCGACUAAUGUUGAAAAAUUAGCGGAUGACUUGUGGCUGGGGGUGAAAGGCCAAUCAAACCGGGAGAUAGCUGGUUCUCCCCGAAAGCUAUUUAGGUAGCGCCUCGUGAAUUCAUCUCCGGGGGUAGAGCACUGUUUCGGCAAGGGGGUCAUCCCGACUUACCAACCCGAUGCAAACUGCGAAUACCGGAGAAUGUUAUCACGGGAGACACACGGCGGGUGCUAACGUCCGUCGUGAAGAGGGAAACAACCCAGACCGCCAGCUAAGGUCCCAAAGUCAUGGUUAAGUGGGAAACGAUGUGGGAAGGCCCAGACAGCCAGGAUGUUGGCUUAGAAGCAGCCAUCAUUUAAAGAAAGCGUAAUAGCUCACUGGUCGAGUCGGCCUGCGCGGAAGAUGUAACGGGGCUAAACCAUGCACCGAAGCUGCGGCAGCGACACUGUGUGUUGUUGGGUAGGGGAGCGUUCUGUAAGCCUGUGAAGGUGUGCUGUGAGGCAUGCUGGAGGUAUCAGAAGUGCGAAUGCUGACAUAAGUAACGAUAAAGCGGGUGAAAAGCCCGCUCGCCGGAAGACCAAGGGUUCCUGUCCAACGUUAAUCGGGGCAGGGUGAGUCGACCCCUAAGGCGAGGCCGAAAGGCGUAGUCGAUGGGAAACAGGUUAAUAUUCCUGUACUUGGUGUUACUGCGAAGGGGGGACGGAGAAGGCUAUGUUGGCCGGGCGACGGUUGUCCCGGUUUAAGCGUGUAGGCUGGUUUUCCAGGCAAAUCCGGAAAAUCAAGGCUGAGGCGUGAUGACGAGGCACUACGGUGCUGAAGCAACAAAUGCCCUGCUUCCAGGAAAAGCCUCUAAGCAUCAGGUAACAUCAAAUCGUACCCCAAACCGACACAGGUGGUCAGGUAGAGAAUACCAAGGCGCUUGAGAGAACUCGGGUGAAGGAACUAGGCAAAAUGGUGCCGUAACUUCGGGAGAAGGCACGCUGAUAUGUAGGUGAAGUCCCUCGCGGAUGGAGCUGAAAUCAGUCGAAGAUACCAGCUGGCUGCAACUGUUUAUUAAAAACACAGCACUGUGCAAACACGAAAGUGGACGUAUACGGUGUGACGCCUGCCCGGUGCCGGAAGGUUAAUUGAUGGGGUCAGCGCAAGCGAAGCUCUUGAUCGAAGCCCCGGUAAACGGCGGCCGUAACUAUAACGGUCCUAAGGUAGCGAAAUUCCUUGUCGGGUAAGUUCCGACCUGCACGAAUGGCGUAAUGAUGGCCAGGCUGUCUCCACCCGAGACUCAGUGAAAUUGAACUCGCUGUGAAGAUGCAGUGUACCCGCGGCAAGACGGAAAGACCCCGUGAACCUUUACUAUAGCUUGACACUGAACAUUGAGCCUUGAUGUGUAGGAUAGGUGGGAGGCUUUGAAGUGUGGACGCCAGUCUGCAUGGAGCCGACCUUGAAAUACCACCCUUUAAUGUUUGAUGUUCUAACGUGGACCCGUGAUCCGGGUUGCGGACAGUGUCUGGUGGGUAGUUUGACUGGGGCGGUCUCCUCCUAAAGAGUAACGGAGGAGCACGAAGGUUGGCUAAUCCUGGUCGGACAUCAGGAGGUUAGUGCAAUGGCAUAAGCCAGCUUGACUGCGAGCGUGACGGCGCGAGCAGGUGCGAAAGCAGGUCAUAGUGAUCCGGUGGUUCUGAAUGGAAGGGCCAUCGCUCAACGGAUAAAAGGUACUCCGGGGAUAACAGGCUGAUACCGCCCAAGAGUUCAUAUCGACGGCGGUGUUUGGCACCUCGAUGUCGGCUCAUCACAUCCUGGGGCUGAAGUAGGUCCCAAGGGUAUGGCUGUUCGCCAUUUAAAGUGGUACGCGAGCUGGGUUUAGAACGUCGUGAGACAGUUCGGUCCCUAUCUGCCGUGGGCGCUGGAGAACUGAGGGGGGCUGCUCCUAGUACGAGAGGACCGGAGUGGACGCAUCACUGGUGUUCGGGUUGUCAUGCCAAUGGCACUGCCCGGUAGCUAAAUGCGGAAGAGAUAAGUGCUGAAAGCAUCUAAGCACGAAACUUGCCCCGAGAUGAGUUCUCCCUGACCCUUUAAGGGUCCUGAAGGAACGUUGAAGACGACGACGUUGAUAGGCCGGGUGUGUAAGCGCAGCGAUGCGUUGAGCUAACCGGUACUAAUGAACCGUGAGGCUUAACCUUACAACGCCGAAGGUGUUU